UACGUAGGGUGCAAGCGUUGUCCGGAAUUAUUGGGCGUAAAGAGCUCGUAGGCGGUCUGUCGCGUCGGCUGUGAAAUCCCGAGGCUCAACCUCGGGUCUGCAGUCGAUACGGGCAAACUGGAGUGUUGCAGGGGAGACUGGAAUUCCUGGUGUAGCGGUGAAAUGCGCAGAUAUCAGGAAGAACACCCGUGGCGAAGGCGGUUCUCUGGAACGCAACUGACGCUGAGACGCGAAAGCGUGGGGAGCAAACAGG
rnacentral:rRNA from 1 species